AGGUCUACGUGUAGACCGAUGAGAGUACCAUACGAAUAAGCACCGGCUAACUCCGUGCCAGCAGCCGCGGUAAUACGGAGGGUGCAAGCGUUAUCCGGAUUUAUUGGGUUUAAAGGGUGCGUAGGCGGUUUGAUAAGUCAGCGGUGAAAUAUUUCAGCUUAACUGGAAGGGUGCCGUUGAUACUGUCAGGCUUGAAUUUAGUUGCUGUGGGUGGAAUGUGUGGUGUAGCGGUGAAAUGCAUAGAUAUCACACAGAAUAUCGAUUGCGAAGGCAGCUCACAAAGCUAAUAUUGACGCUGAUGCACGAAAGUGUGGGGAUCAAACAGGAUUAGAUACCCUGGUAGUCCACACUGUAAACGAUGAUAACUCGCUGUCGGCGAUACACAGUCGGUGGCCAAGCGAAAGCGAUAAGUUAUCCACCUGGGGAGUACGACCGCAAGGUUGAAACUCAAAGGAAUUGACGGA
rnacentral:rRNA from 1 species